CCGCCUCAGAGUUGACUCCCAACUGAAGGGACCGUUUCCUGGAAGACAAUGACUAAGCAGAAAUCGCGGCUGAGAAAGUGCUUGGACUUUGGAUUACACUGAGUGUUAUGUGUGUGGAGCAGCCCUGCUUCAGAAAGUGCUUGAACUAGGAAGCCUGUCUGUGGACCAUACAGAGAAGACCGUCUUGGCAAGGCACCGUUUGCUCUCCUAAUCUACAAGUCUCUUAAAAUGGUUUGGAUUAAAAACGAUUAUGUUCUGA